rnacentral:tRNA from 1 species
UGUAACAAGGUGUUAUUUGCAUAUUAUGUUUUGGUCGUAAAGGUAAUUGGUUAGUUGGUUACAG